rnacentral:rRNA from 1 species
UCAAGCGAUUAAGUGCAUGUGGUGGAUGCCUUGGCGAUUACAGGCGAUGAAGGGCGUGGAAGCCUGCGAAAAGCUCCGGGGAGCUGGCAAACAAGCAUUGAUCCGGAGAUGUCCGAAUGGGGAAACCCGGCCCGCAAGGGUCAACCUUGGCUGAAUACAUAGGCCAAGCGUGGCAAACCUGGCGAACUGAAACAUCUAAGUAGCCAGAGGAACAGAAAUCAACCGAGAUUCCCAGAGUAGCGGCGAGCGAAAUGGGAGGAGCCUCCAAUUUUUAGCAUUUUAACUAGCCAAACCGUCUGGAAAGUCGGGCCAUAGUGGGUGAUAGCCCCGUAGGUGAAAGUUUGAGUGUGGAACUAAGGUUGGAACAAGUAGGGCGGGACACGAGAAAUCCUGUUUGAAUAUGGGGGGACCAUCCUCCAAGGCUAAAUACUCGUAAUCGACCGAUAGUGAACCAGUACCGUGAGGGAAAGGCGAAAAGAACCCCGGAAGGGGAGUGAAAUAGAUCCUGAAACCGUAUGCAUACAAACAGUGGGAGCCCCUGCUUAAAGAACCUUUGAUUUUUUGGUAAGUAGAAUAAAUCAAAAAGCCUAAAAGGCGAAAGAAUCUUUAACCAGGCAAAGAACCCCAAGGGUUCUUUAAGCAGGGGUGACUGCGUACCUUUUGUAUAAUGGGUCAGCGACUUACAUUCAGUAGCAAGCUUAACCGAAUAGGGGAAGCAUAGCGAAAGCGAGUCUUAAUUGGGCGUUUAGUUGCUGGAUGUAGACCCGAAACCAGAUGAUCUACUCAUGGCCAGGAUGAAGCGAGGGUAACACCUCGUGGAGGUCCGAACCCACUAAUGUUGAAAAAUUAGGGGAUGAGCUGUGGGUAGGGGUGAAAGGCUAAACAAAUCUGGAAAUAGCUGGUUCUCUCCGAAAACUAUUUAGGUAGUGCCUCACGUAUCACCUUUGGGGGUAGAGCACUGUUAUGGCUAGGGGGCCGCCUAGGCUUACCAAACCAUGGCAAACUCCGAAUACCGAAGAGUGCAAGCGUGGGAGACAGACAUCGGGUGCUAACGUCCGGUGUCGAAAGGGAAACAACCCAGACCCUCAGCUAAGGUCCCAAAGUACGGUUAAGUGGUGAACGAGGUGGGAAGGCGAAAACAGUCAGGAAGUUGGCUUAGAAGCAGCCAUCUUUUAAAGAAAGCGUAAUAGCUCACUGAUCGAGUCGUCCUGCGCGGAAAAUGUAACGGGGCUCAAACUGUACACCGAAGCUAGGGAUUUACACGCAAGUGUAGAUGGUAGGAGAGCGUUCCGUAGGCCUGCGAAGGUGGCUUGUGAAGGCUGCUGGAGGUAUCGGAAGUGCGAAUGCUGACAUGAGUAGCGAUAAAGGGAGUGAAAGGCUCCCUCGCCGUAAGCCCAAGGUUUCCUGUGCAACGUUCAUCGGCGCAGGGUGAGUCGGCCCCUAAGGUGAGGCAGAAAUGCGUAGCUGAUGGGAAACUGGUUAAUAUUCCAGUACCUUUGUUCAAUGCGAUGUGGGGACGGAGAAGGUUAACUCGGCCGGGUGUUGGAUGUCCCGGUUCAAGCGUGUAGACGUGCCGCCUAGGCAAAUCCGGGUGGCUUAGUUGAGGCGUGAUAACGCAACGCCCCUCGGGGCGCCAAGUGAGUGAUACCCUGCUUCCAGGAAAAGCCACUAAGCUUCAGUUGAAUGAAGACCGUACCGCAAACCGACACAGGUGGGCGGGAUGAAAAUUCUAAGGCGCUUGAGAGAACUCAGGAGAAGGAACUCGGCAAAUUAACACCGUAACUUCGGGAUAAGGUGUACCCCCGGUACGUGUAGCGCUUCGCGCGUGAAGCGGAUGGGGGUUGCAAAGAAAUGGUGGCUGCGACUGUUUAAUAAAAACACAGCACUCUGCAAACACGCAAGUGGACGUAUAGAGUGUGACGCCUGCCCGGUGCCGGAAGGUUAAAUGAUGGGGUGCAAGCUCUUGAUUGAAGCCCCGGUAAACGGCGGCCGUAACUAUAACGGUCCUAAGGUAGCGAAAUUCCUUGUCGGGUAAGUUCCGACCUGCACGAAUGGCGUAACGAUGGCCACACUGUCUCCUCCUGGGACUCAGCGAAGUUGAAAUGGUUGUGAAGAUGCAAUCUCCCCGCGGCUAGACGGAAAGACCCCGUGCACCUUUACUGUAGCUUUACAUUGGGCUUUGAGAAUAUCUGUGUAGGAUAGGUGGGAGGCAUUGAAGUGGACUCGCUAGAGUUCAUGGAGCCAACGUUGAAAUACCACCCUGAUGUUGUUGAGGUUCUAACCUAGGUCCAUUAUCUGGAUCGGGGACCGUGUAUGGUAGGCAGUUUGACUGGGGCGGUCUCCUCCCAAAGAGUAACGGAGGAGUACGAAGGUACGCUAGGUACGGUCGGAAAUCGUGCUGAUAGUGCAAUGGCAAAAGCGUGCUUGACUGCGAGACUGACAAGUCGAGCAGAUGCGAAAGCAGGUCAUAGUGAUCCGGUGGUUCUGUAUGGAAGGGCCAUCGCUCAACGGAUAAAAGGUACGCCGGGGAUAACAGGCUAAUUCCUCCCAAGAGUUCAUAUCGACGGGGGAGUUUGGCACCUCGAUGUCGGCUCAUCACAUCCUGGGGCUGUAGCCGGUCCCAAGGGUAUGGCUGUUCGCCAUUUAAAGUGGUACGUGAGCUGGGUUUAAAACGUCGUGAGACAGUUUGGUCCCUAUCUGCCGUGGGCGCUGGAAGUUUGAGAGGACCUGCUCCUAGUACGAGAGGACCGGAGUGGACGCACCUCUGGUGUACCGGUUAUGACGCCAGUCGUAUUGCCGGGUAGCUAAGUGCGGAAGAGAUAACCGCUGAAAGCAUCUAAGCGGGAAACUCACCUCAAGAUGAGACUUCCCGGGGGUUAAACCCCCCUAAAGGUUCGUCGAAGACCACGACGUUGAUAGGUCGAGUGUGGAAGCGCAGCAAUGCGUUGAGCUAAUCGAUACUAAUUGACCGUGCGGCUUGAUCCU